GGACUUCGGCUUCGACCCCCUGGGCCUCGCCACCGUUCCGGAGAACUUCGAGCGGUUCAAGGAGUCCGAGGUCUACCACUGCCGCUGGGCCAUGCUCGCCGUGGUACGCCGCUGUGCUGCCUCUCUGAUUACUUACGAUCAUGUCAUGAACUAUGGCAUGGACCUGACAGAUGAGCUUUGCAAUUGUGUGGCAUGCAGCCCGGGAUCUUGGUGCCUGAGGCGCUGGGCCUUGGCAACUGGGUGAAGGCGCAGGAGUGGGCGGCCGUCCCCGGCGGGCAGGCCACAUACCUGGGCAACCCGGUGCCGUGGGGCACGCUGCCCACCAUCCUGGUGAUCGAAUUCGUGGCCAUCGCCUUCGCCGAGCACCAGCGCACCAUGGAGAAGGACCCCGAGAAGAAGAAGUACCCCGGCGGCGCCUUCGACCCGCUCGGCUUCUCCAAGGACCCCGUCAAGUUCGAGGAGUACAAGCUCAAGGAGAUCAAGAACGGUGAGUCUCCUGGUUUUGUGUACUAUAUGAUCUCGUUGUUGUAGUGACAGCCUCCCACUCCAUUGAUCAUACGCUAACCACUGGGCAUCGUCUAAACGAUUGUGCAUGAUGAUGAGCAGGCCGGCUUGCGAUGUUGGCGUUCGUGGGGUUCUGCGUGCAGCAGUCGGCGUACCCCGGCACCGGGCCGCUGGAGAACCUGGCUACCCACCUCGCCGACCCGUGGCACAACAACAUCGGCGACAUCAUCAUCCCCAGAACGAUCUACCCUUGAGCUGAGAUGAUUGUGAGAGAAGAGGAUGAGACGAGACAGGAGAUGGGGCUGUGCUGGGAGUGUGGAUGAUGUUCUAUGUGUGUGAUUGGUUGGUUACUGGGCACUGCCUGCGUGCGUGCAGGAACUGUACAACGAACAACGACGGCGACUUUCCGGCCGGCCGGGAACCCCUUAUAAUGUAAAGCUUAUUAUUAUUAAGUAGCGGCUACCCUUA
rnacentral:lncRNA from 1 species